rnacentral:snRNA from 1 species
AGCUUUGCGCAGUGGCAGUAUCCUAGCCAGUGAGGUUUACUGGAGGCGCGAUUAUUGCUAAUUAAGUUCCCAUUUGAUGCACUUUGUCCUCUUUUGUACUCCCACGAUCUCUCCCUUUCAAAUAGGUCAUAUUCCUGUUCAUAACACAUCUGGAAUUUA